AUGAAGUCACAGCUGGAAGGGGCCGGGCUGGGGCUGCCACUCCAGGGUGGGGCCUGGGGUCACGACCCUGGGAGCAGGCGGCCAAGAAGGGAGGCUGCCUUCCGUGAGGGAGCUGGGGUGGGGGGGAGACACACACACAGCAGCGCAGAGAGGGAGGGAAGAAAACAAACUCCAGGAGACCAAGCCGCCUGGAGCGCGGCCUGGGCUGCCGAUUCCCGGGGACCGCGGCCACGUUGCAGGCGGCUCCGAGACCCUGCUCGGCCUUCGUCCCGAGAGGCCCGGCGCAGGUGGUGGCCGGACAUGGACGGGAGAGGGAGGCUGGGCCUGGGGUGCCGAGGGGCCCGGAACACUUGGGGAGCACGGACCAAGUCAGGCUCCAGUAUAUAAAUCAGGCAAAUUCCCCAUUUGAGCAUGAACCUCUGAAAACUGCCGGCAUCUAAGGUCUCCUUCAAGGCCCUCUGGAGUGCAGCCCAUAAUGAAGGUCUUGGCGGCAGGUAAAUCCACCCGCCCCCCGCCCCGGGCUGGCUUCCGCCGGGAGCCCCGGCCGCGGGCGCCGCGGCAAACUUGGGGCCCCUGGCGAACGCGAACGGGACACCCACCAGCCGCAGACACACGGACACUUGGGGCGC
rnacentral:lncRNA from 1 species